AGCGAACGCUGGCGGCAUGCCUAACACAUGCAAGUCGCACGGGGGGGCUUCGGCCUCCCAGUGGCGGACGGGUGAGGAACGCGUAGGGACCUGUCGAGGGGUGGGGGAUAACCGCGGGAAACUGCGGCUAAUACCGCAUGACGCCGCGGCGUGACAGCCGGGGCCAAAGGCGAAAGCCGCCCGCCGAGGGGCCUGCGUCCGAUUAGCUGGUUGGCGGGGUAGCGGCCCACCAAGGCGUCGAUCGGUAGCUGGUCUGAGAGGGUGAUCAGCCACACCGGGACUGAGACACGGCCCGGACUCCUACGGGAGGCAGCAGUGGGGAAUAUUGGACAAUGGGCGCAAGCAUGAUCCAGCAAUGCCGCGUGGGUGAAGAAGGUCUUCGGAUUGUAAAGCCCUUUCGGCGGGGACGAUGGUGACGGUACCCGCAGAAGAAGCCCCGGCUAACUUCGUG
rnacentral:rRNA from 1 species